UCGAGAAUUUUUCUCAAUGGGCGAAAGCCUGAAGGAGCGACGCCGCGUGGGGGAUGAAGGGCUUCGGCUCGUAAACCCCUGUCAUUUGCGAACUUGUAGCGGAAGAGGAAGGGACGGCUAACUCUGUGCCAGCAGCCGCGGUAAUACAGAGGUCCCAAGCGUUGUUCGGAUUCACUGGGCGUAAAGGGUGCGUAGGCGGCCAGAUAAGUCUGUUGUGAAAUCUCCGGGCUCAACCCGGAAGCUGCAAUGGAAACUGUCUGGCUAGAGGAUUGAUGGGAGACUGGAAUUCUCGGUGUAGCAGUGAAAUGCGUAGAUAUCGAGAGGAACACCAGUGGCGAAGGCGAGUCUCUGGGCAAUUCCUGACGCUGAGGCACGAAAGCUGGGGAGCAAACAGGAUUAGAUACCCGAGUAGU
rnacentral:rRNA from 1 species